AGUGAACGCUGGCGGUAGGCCUAACACAUGCAAGUCGAACGGCAGCACAGUAAGAGCUUGCUCUUACGGGUGGCGAGUGGCGGACGGGUGAGGAAUACAUCGGAAUCUACUUUUUCGUGGGGGAUAACGUAGGGAAACUUACGCUAAUACCGCAUACGACCUACGGGUGAAAGCAGGGGAUCUUCGGACCUUGCGCGAUUGAAUGAGCCGAUGUCGGAUUAGCUAGUUGGCGGGGUAAAGGCCCACCAAGGCGACGAUCCGUAGCUGGGCUGAGAGGGUGAUCAGCCACACUGGAACUAAGAGACGGUCCAGACUCCUACGGGAGGCAGCAGUGGGGAAUAUUGGACAAUGGGCGCAAGCCUGAUCCAGCCAUGCCGCGUGGGUGAAGAAGGCCUUCGGGUUGUAAAGCCCUUUUGUUGGGAAAGAAAAGCAGCAGGUUAAUACCCCGCUGUUCUGACGGUACCCAAAGAAUAAGCACCGGCUAACUUCGU
rnacentral:rRNA from 1 species